rnacentral:rRNA from 1 species
CCUACGGGAGGCAGCAGUGGGGAAUAUUGGACAAUGGGCGAAAGCCUGAUCCAGCAAUGCCGCGUGAGUGAUGAAGGCCUUCGGGUCGUAAAGCUCUUUUACCAGGGAUGAUAAUGACAGUACCUGGAGAAUAAGCUCCGGCUAACUCCGUGCCAGCAGCCGCGGUAAUACGGAGGGAGCUAGCGUUGUUCGGAAUUACUGGGCGUAAAGAGUACGUAGGCGGUUAUUCAAGUCAGAGGUGAAAGCCCGGGGCUCAACCCCGGAACUGCCUUUGAAACUAGAUAACUAGAGUCUUGGAGAGGUUAGUGGAAUUCCGAGUGUAGAGGUGAAAUUCGUAGAUAUUCGGAAGAACACCAGUGGCGAAGGCGACUAACUGGACAAGUACUGACGCUGAGGUACGAAAGCGUGGGGAGCAAACAGGAUUAGAUACCCUGGUAGUCCACGCCGUAAACGAUGAUAACUAGUUGUUCGGUCACUUGGUGACUGAGUGACGCAGCUAACGCAUUAAGUUAUCCGCCUGGGGGUACGUCGCAAGNUUAAAACUCAAAUGAAUUGACCGGNUGAGCGNGCGAGACGACACGAGGGAGAG